rnacentral:pre_miRNA from 1 species
CUAAAGGUGAUAGGACUAUGGUUUGGAUUUGUUUCCCAAGUCUUAACAAGAUUUAUUAUGAUGAAAGUUUCCUUCUAAUUCUUUUUUGGGAACCAUUAUUGGAAAACCAAUCAAAGUGAUUGCUAAAAUUCUGAAAGUGCUGUGAGGACUAUUUGCAGGAGUUUGUGUGGAGAUUGAUUUAGAUAACCUAUUGUUGGCAAGGUACAUGUAGAUGGACAUGGUAUAAAGUGGCUUAUGAAGGUCUUCGUAUUAUUUGUUCGAAGUGUGGUUGUUAUG